AGCAAAGGGGGAGCCACCACCUUUCUCCUACACUGAGUUUUUAAGUCUUUCCCCCUCCCUGCUCAGCCUGGCACCACUCACCACCACCACUUUUCCCUUGCUUUAGGUGAGGAUGUGCCUCAGGCGAGGGCGUGAGCGUGCUUUGAGGGGCAUCUUUGGGGUAGCUCUGCCCUGGUGUUGCAGACGGGAGAGACCCAGGGCACCCAUGGGUCUUUGCUAGCCCCAGGCCGGGAAGUACUACAACACCCUCUGUGUGCACCCUUGGGCAACCACAGAAGCAGAAAAAACACUUCAUGGGCACCAGGAGGAGCAAACCACCCUCUGCUGCUCCCCAGUUCACUGAUGUUCACCAGCUCAGCCUGCAGAUGAAGGCAUCUGAUUGUUUCAGUCCCCUCGGAGUGAAACUACCAGCUCAGGAGAUCAAACUACGAUCCCAACAGGAGCUGCCGUUGGCCUCCCUCAGGACACGGCUGUCUGAUGCUUGCUGGGUGCCUGCUGCCACAGAGGGCAACUGUUCUUUCCUCAGCUUGGGGAAACCAAACGUCCUAAUAAAAAAUAUCCAUUUUA